GUCCUUUCUUUUUCGCUUCCGGUAUGUUAUUAUAUGAAACCAUUUUAUUUGAUUGAAUUUCUCUGCAUGUACUGUGUUAAUUGUUUUCUUUAUGGUAAUUUGUUUUUAAAAUUAGGUUCUUGUAAAAUCACAUUUUUUGUGGCAAGUUACAUUUCAUUGUGUGAUUAUAAGAGGACUAGAAAGAUGUAAAAAUCAAGGCUACCCUUUUCAAAUAAUUCAACUUUCCAGGACUCAUUUUCUCACUUUUGAGGCAGACAUCUUAUAUUUCUUGAAUUCCUGGAUUUAAUCACUGUCGUGGCCAUGAUCUGAUGAUCAUGGUUGAGUAACAUAAACAGUGCUAUCAAGGUUGUUA
rnacentral:misc_RNA from 1 species